rnacentral:rRNA from 1 species
UACACUCCUACGGGAGGCAGCAGUGGGGAAUAUUGCACAAUGGGCGCAAGCCUGAUGCAGCCAUGCCGCGUGUAUGAAGAAGGCCUUCGGGUUGUAAAGUACUUUCAGCGGGGAGGAAGGCGAUAAGGUUAAUAACCUUGUCGAUUGACGUUACCCGCAGAAGAAGCACCGGCUAACUCCGUGCCAGCAGCCGCGGUAAUACGGAGGGUGCAAGCGUUAAUCGGAAUUACUGGGCGUAAAGCGCACGCAGGCGGUCUGUCAAGUCGGAUGUGAAAUCCCCGGGCUCAACCUGGGAACUGCAUUCGAAACUGGCAGGCUAGAGUCUUGUAGAGGGGGGUAGAAUUCCAGGUGGAGCGGUGAAAUGCGUAGAGAUCUGGAGGAAUACCGGUGGCGAAGGCGGCCCCCUGGACAAAGACUGACGCUCAGGUGCGAAAGCGUGGGGAGCAAACAGGAUUAGAAACCCGAGUAGUCCC